CGCUUCCCAGGUGAGGCAAUGCCUCGCCCUGCUUCGGCUCGUGCACGUUGCGCACACCCACUGGCCUGCGCCCACUGUCUGGCACUCCCUAGUGAGAUGAACCCGGUACCUCAGAUGGAAAUGCAGAAAUCACCUGUCUUCUGCGUCGCUCACACUGGGAGCUGUAGACCGGAGCUGUUCCUAUUCGGCCAUCUUGGCUCCUCCUCUAUCUACACAUCUUUGAAAGGUCUUCCUCUUCUCCACUGCUUUUGUCGAACGUGUUCAAAAGGAUUUGAAACCAACUAUUGGAGGAAGAAAAUCAAUCACUCUCCUUUGUCUCCUAUUGGGACCACUGCCCCACCCCCCCCAACAAAAGGAUAAAUUCCUGGAAAGUGUAAAGGGAAGAAAGCCCCUCCAUUGGGAAAUAGGUUGGUGUCAGGCUACUUGCUUGUCUGAUUCUUCACAAUGAUAAAGGCCAGCAGAGAAAGUUCAGUGCAAAAGUUCAUCAGCCACCAGGCCAUCAGGAGCAUCUAUUGAUCAAAUCAAAUGUUCACUUCAAACUGCGUUUCUUAACCUGCAGGUGUAGAAUCACCCAUAACAGAUACAGUCACACCUAUCUCUGCACAUACUUGUACGUUCAGGACAACCUGAUGUAUUACAAUUAACAACAUGGUGUCAGUACUGCAGAAGGAUUCACUUGUAUAAAAUAUCCACCAGAGAAAUCGCCUGGAAGUUACUUUCUAAUCUCCUUGACUCUUCCUCGGUACCUUGUGGAAUAGAUGUGGGCUGGGGUAUAGCUUCUGGAUGGUCAUAUAAAUUGAACAGAGGAUAAGUGGAGCCCUUUUUUCAUCUCUUCCAAAAUAUGAAACAUUGCACUGAUCUCGGUGGAAAUAAAUGCCAAAGAGGGUGAUUUUUCCACGGAGCACACAUGAUGUUUCCCCUAAAAUGAGAGAGGAUUUCUACCAACUAAAGAUAUUCUAAUUCCUACAUCAAAAGUUCAUUGAAACUUUUUUUUUUUUUUUUGAGACAGUCUUGCUCUGUCGCCCAGUCUGGAGUGCAAUGGCGGGAUCUCAGUUCAACCCAACCUCCGCCUCCCAGGUUCAAGGGAUUCUCUUGCCUCAGCCUCCCCAGUAGCUAUGAUUACAGGCACCCGCCACCAUGCCCAGCUAAUUUUUGUAUUCUUAGUAGAGACGGGGUUUCACCAUGUGGGUCUUGAACUCCUAAGCUCAGGUGAUCCACCCGCCUCGACCUCCCAAAGUGCUGGGAUUACAGGCGUGAGCCACCCAUUGAAACUUAAUAUGGAGGAAAGCACUGUGUUUGGGGUUGGAAGGAUAUAAAGGGAAUCAAGUAGGAUCUCUGCACUCUGGUAGUUUGAUGCCUUGUCCUCAUGGGAUUCACAGAGCAGUCAAGGAGACCAAAAUAAUUGCUCGCUAGAGGUAGAAACUUCACAUUUGGAAGCACAGAGAAUCAGGAAAACUCUAAAGUGGAAGCAAAAAGUUUCAGCUCAUUUUAAAAUUUGAUUCUAAUUUCGACGAGCGAUCGCUUGAGAUGGAAGUGACAUCCAUCCUGUCCUACAGGGCAGGCAGAUGCAGCUUGUUACAGGAGGCCAGCUUAAGAGAAGAUGAGAAUUGAUUUCCUUACAGAGCAAUGUUAACAAUUUUGCAACUUAAUUGUAAUUCUUAAAGUCAGAUCAUUUAAGAGCGGAGGAAAAGAUUUUUCUGGAGAAGAAGCUCAAUUUAAUAAAUCCUUUGCCGAGGGAUUUGCUCAAACUUUUGGUACUCACCCAAGCAUUUGUCUGAAAAGAGUUUUGUCUUCUCUCGCCAUUGUUGCAAGAUACUGGUAAGGAAAGCUGUUUGAACUUCCUCAAAACAUCAACAUUUAAUACUCCUUAAGUUUCCAACAGGAAAACGAGGUAAGUUAAUAUUUUCCCAUGUUGAUACAUAAUUGAAUUAGAGUUUUACUUAACUUAAUAAAUUGCCACCUGGGGUAAUAGAACCAUGAACAGCACUUAAUUUCAGGUCUGCAUUAACUGUGCUUUCUCACUGCCCCGGUCUGAGUGCCUGUUACCACGGCUCCCAAAGGCAUCAGGGUUCUCCCAGCCUUCCAAUCACUGCUGCUAUCCAACUUUGGCCACCAUUUGGAGAGCAGGUUGGAAACAGGAUGGGCAAGAUUGAACAGGAGGAAGGCCAUGCUCCCAUGCAUGUGAAAAGACCAUGGACACACACAAAAGCACACUCAACUGCAUCUUGAUACCUCCCAAAAGCAAACUCCUGCAGAGAACUUCAGGAUGAACAUAUGUUUGCUUCAUUACGGAGCUUAGGAUAUUCUAUACCUAUCUGAACUUCUGAACUAUACAGAUCAGUUAGACGGCUUCAAAUCAUCAUGGUGCUUUUUUAGGAAUUCCAAAUUACUGAUGCUAUAAGGAUUCUGCCAUAUUCUCAUUCCCUUUCUCAUUCCCAAGGGUCCUGAGAAAUUAUGCAUUUGGGUCAUUCCCAAAAUGCAUGAUUUCUCAGGACCCUUGGGAAUCACCAUUGUUAUUUUUUGGGAAUCCUAAAUUACUGAUGCUAUAAGGGUCCUGAGAAAUCAUGCGUUCUACUAGUUUUUAAUUUGGGCAUGGGAGAAAGGUAUUUGAGCACAUAAUGAAAGCCAGAGGCCCUUUCUCUAGUUAACAGUUGUAUAUACACAUACACAAGCAAAGGAGCAAAAUUUUGUGUACAAAUCUCAAAUCUCCCAGAUCUCCUGAAGUCCACCCAUGAUUAUCCUGGUGGGGCAUGAACCCCAGCUGAGAUCAUGUGAUCUAACCAACCCCAUAUUUUUUUAAAUUAAAAAAAUUAAAAACCUGAAGUCCAAAAGGAUUCCAGCAAGAUUAAGUAACUUGCUCAACAAAACACAUUUGUCAACUGGGAACGAAACCCAUAUCAUCUGACUCCUAGUUAAAUUCUAUUUCCCCUAGUAACUUGUUUUUCUGUCUUCCAUUGUCUUCGUGGUAAAACAGGAUGUUACUUGCCUACUUCAUGGGAUUCUUAGAUGGAAUAUUUACUAAAACUUUUGCACAUCAUAAAUAUUUGGGCCAGACAUAGUGGCUUACACCUGUAAUCUCAGCACUUUGGGAGGCCAAAAAAUAGGAGGAUUACUUGAUUCCAGGAGUUUGAGACCAGCCUUGGCAACAUGGUGAAACCGCAUCUCUACAAUACAAAAAUUAGCUGGGUGUGGUGGCACAAGCCUGUAGUCUCGGCUACCCAGGAGACUGAGGCGGGAGGAUCAUCUGAGCCCAGGAGGCAGAGGUUGCAGUGAGCAGAGAUCGCACCACUGUACUCCAGUGCACUCCAGCUCAGGCAACAGAGUGAGACCCUGUCUCAAAAAAUAAUUAAUUAAUUAAUAUUUGCAAGUAAUUCCUCCCCACAAAACUUGAAUGUUUGUCAUUAUUUGCAUGAUAUUAAUAACAGCUACCCUCAUUACAGAUGAAUUAGGCAAAUCAUCUUUUUUAAAAAAAAAAAAAACCUUGUAGUGUUAUUAUUACUAGGCAAAUAGUCGUUAGUAUACAACAGUUCUUACAUUGUGUACUCAGAUUUGGUUAUGAUAAACUCAACACAGCUACAGCCUAAAUGAAUUUAUAUAAAACACUGACAGAGGCUAAAGUUAUUAUAGCUUUAGUCCCAUUUCUAUUUAGAAGAGUGUAGAAAUAUUUUUCCUCAGGAGAAAAAAAAUGAAAUGUAGACAUGAUUUGGGGUUUGGGGGGUGUUUCGUGUUUGGUUUUCCCAGGUGCCCCAAAUUAAACUAACUCACACUUUCUGGCUAUCACUCAAACUGAGUUGACUUGGCUACUGCUUUCCCAGAUCCUCUAAAAACUAAAGGAUUUUCUUCUGGCAUUUUAAUCAGUGAUUAACUACUCCCUUCUUUUUCCUGCUGGGUUAAGUAAAAGAUCCAUAUGCUGGGUGUUCUAGGGAAUUUGUUAGGCUAUAGAUCACAGCCGUGGUGCCAGCCAUGAUGUGUCUCAAGGGAACUAAAGAAGCCAUAAGGAAUGUCAAGAGUCACCGGGUUAAAGCCACAUUAAGACAGCUGUUACGUUAAUGAAGGCCCUGCUUCGAAGAGGAGGUCACUAUAUGGAAAAGUAUGAACUACUGUUUAUUGGUUUGAUCCCAUGUCCUCUGAAAGUUAAUGGGCCAUUAUUAUUAUCCUUUGACAUUCAUUGAGCCAGAUGAGAAUGCUGGGUGCUGUACAAGCUACAUGGGUUUGAAAUAUAUUCUGUCUCCAUCCUUAGUUUUGACAAAGGCAGGAAUGAAAGAGAACAACACCGAACACUCCUCAGUUUUCCAUCACACUCCUUGUCUGAUCUAUUUACAAUAAAUGUUUAUUUUUCCUUACUCACAUUGAGUUCAGAGCUGAUACUCGGCCUAUUUUAAAAAUAGAUCUAGUGCCAGUGGCUCACACCUGUAAUCUCAACACUUUGAGACGCUGAGGAGGGAGGAUCACUUGAGUCCAGGAGCUCAAGACCAACCUGAGCAACAUAGCAAGACCCCAGCUCUACAAAAAAAUAGAAAAAUAAUUAGCCAGACAUGGUGGCACACAUCUGUAGACCCAGCUACUCUGGAAGCUGAGGUGGAAGAAUCACUUGAGCUUGGAAGAUCGAGGCUACACAGUGAGCCAUGAUUAAGCCACUGUACUACAGGCUGGGCAACAAAGUGAGACUCUGUCUCAAAAAACAAACAAACAAACAAACAAAAAAGCAGAUCUAGUAGGUGGGCUUGGCCAGUUACAGAGGACAGGUACCAAAUCCUGGAAUAUAGUGGCCACUCAAAAGAGGCAUGAUUGGACCUCACAUAACAUUUGCAGGUAAUUGCAGAACUAUAAUAAAAGCAAAGUAGAUUUGAAACAUAUUAUUUAUAACAUUGUUAUAUAUAAUAUACUAUUAUAUGAUUUAAUUUGUCUGCCCUUUUGAUUGUGAUACAGAUUUUUUCUCUGCACUGUUAUAUUAAUAUGCAUGUUAAUAUCAUAACAUUGAUAUAGUAAUAUUAAUGUUAUGUUAAUAUAAUAUUUAUAUAGUAUUAUAUAAUAUUACUAUAUCAAUACUGUAUUAAAAUAUUUUUCUAUUGAAAUAUUAUGACUUAGUUAAUAAAGGUUAUUUCUACACUGUGUGGUGGGGAGAAACACUCUGUUUCCCAAUGAUAAUAGGUUUCCCAACUUUAAAACACCAGCUCUGUGAACCUUGGUCUAUCUACAACUCUUCCUUUCACUCACCUUCCUCCCCACUUCUAGAUUACACAAUCGGUUGUCCAUUCUACCUCUGAAUACCUUCACCACCAUCUCUUCCUUGCCAUUCCCACUGCCACUACCUAUCUCAUGCCAUAGCCCCCACUCCCUGUCACAUCAAAUGUGAGCUCACUGGCCUGAAACCCAAGACCUCCAUAGGAUAUCCUCAGCCUACCUACCAAACCCUAUUUCUUCCACCACCCUACCACUCCUUACAUUCUAAUCAAACUAACUAUUCUCCCAAUAUGACUAGAGUGAAAAAGAAAGGUUAUCUUACGUGUAGCCCACCACUUCUACCUCUCUGUGCCUCUGCUCAUAUAAUUCCCUAUUACUAAUAUACUCUCCUUAUGCACCUGGUCCAGUGAAUAUCUAUCUAGCCCGGAAAGUUCAUCUUAAAUCUGCCCUCUGGGCCCAGCACAAUGGCUCAUGCCUAUAAUCCCAGCACUUUGGGAAGCCAAGGCAAGUGGAUCGCUUGCACCUGGGAGUUCAAGAAGAGCCUGGGCAACAUGGCAAAAUCCCAUCUCUUCAAAAAAUUAUCCAGGCAUAGUGGCAUGCACCUGUAGCCCCAACUAUCUGGGAGGCUGAGGUGGGAGGAUCACCUGAGCUCAGGAGGUGUAGGCUUCAGUGAGCUGUGAUUGUACCACUGUACUCCAACCUGGGCUACAGAAUGAGACCCUGUCUCAAAAAAAAAAAAAAUUAAAUCUGCCUUCUUCAUGUACCUCUCUUCAUUCCUUCAAGAUCUCAUCCCUUGAGUUCAUGUCCUUUGCAGGGACAUGGAUGAACCUGGAAACCAUCAUUCUCAGUAAACUAACACAGGAACAGAAAACCAAACACUGCAUGUUCUCACUCAUGAGUGAGAGUUGAACAAUGAGAACACAUGGACACAGGGAGGGGAAAAUCACACACCAGGGCCUGUUGGGGGGUGGGGGGCUAGGGGAGGGAUAGCAUUAGGAGAAAUACCUAAUGUAGAUGACGGGUUGAUGGGUGCAGCAAACCACCAUGGCACGUGUUAUACCUAUGUAACAAACCUGCCCCUUCUGCACAUAUAUCCCAGAACUUAAAGUAUAAUUUUUUAAAAAAAGGUUGGGCAUGGUGGCUCAUACCUGUAAUCCCAGCACUUUGGGAGGCCAAGGCGGCCAGAUCACGAGGUCAGGAGUUCGAGACCAGCCUGACCAACAUGGUGAAACCCCAUCUCUACUAAAAAUACAAAAAUGAGCCGGGCCUGGUGGCAAGCACCUGUAAUCCCAGCUACUUGGGAGACUGAGUCAGGAGAAUCGCUUGAACCCAGGAGGCAGAGGUUGCAGUGAGCUGAGGUUGUACCACUGCACUCCAGCCUGGGUGACAGAGUGAGACUCCACCUCAAAAAAAAAAAAAAAAAAAAAUCUCAUCCUUUCCUCUUCUCAACUCCCAUUGCACUUUUUCUCUUUCUGCACUUAUCAUGUCUGUGUUAUUUUUAAAUUAUUUGUAUGUUUAUUUUUUUACCUUUCUUAGAUUGCAACUCCUUCAGAGAACUGUCUUAAUUGAUCUUAGCAUUCCUUGACUUUCCUAGCACUAUGAUGAUCAUAUGGAAGUUUGAAGAAAACAAUCUCUCUGACUGAGCUCUGCAGCCUGGAAGAGGCUAUUUCUGUAAAAUUCUGUAAUAGGAGAGUUAAUUAGCUGCAUCUAUGAACGUGUUGAUCAAUCUAGGGACCAUGUCAACUGACUAGUCCACUGCUGAGUCCCCAGCCUGCAAAUUAAGAAUCUGGAAAUAACACACAAUAUUUGCAGACAAGGUGACUUAACUUCUAGGGUGGUGAGGAGUUCGAGGAUACCCUACGAUAUCUGCCAUCUUUCAAACACUGUUUUACUAGCUCCAGGAAGUAGUUCUUCAUUAAUGAUGAAAACAUUAUUCUAUACUCUAUAGAAACAUAUUACAUCUAAGUAGCCUUUCCAGAAGGUUCAGAGCACCUCUAAGAGUUCAAAAGAUAAUUCAACAUGUUCUUUAAGUAAUAUAAUUUCUUGAAAUGCUUCUUAAUUAUAAAAUCGUUAAAUGAAGGAAUUUCAUGUUAUGCACCUUUGCACAUUUUCAUAAUUGAAAGGUCACAGAGAUGAAGCGUAUGGGAUCCAAUUAUCUCUAGACUCACUUUGCAGCUAUGCCACCUUGGGUAGUUACUUAUAUAGUCCAAGUCUCAGUUUCCUUAUUUGUAAAUGGAGAGUAGCAAUCAUGGUACCCACCUAGGAUUUUAAUAAUGAUUCAAUGGGUUAAUUCAUGUGAAGCACUUAAAAUAGUGGCUGGGACAGAGUAACCACUCAAAAUUUAUUUGCUCUUACUUGUGUAUCACCCCCAAAGUCCAUAUAGUGCUGGUGUACAAUAAGGAUUCCUGAAAAGUUGAGUUAGUCACAUGAAGUGGUGGACUUCUGUGUGUCGUAAAUGAUAUAGUUGUAUUCUGUCAGUAAAUAAUCAAAGUCCUAACAAUAUGCAUCCCUAGUAAAGGGCCAUUCCUAAUACAUUUUUGGGGGGGAUUGACAUAUGUUUUAGAUGAGAAGAUGCUUGUUUGUUUCCUGUCUGGACUGAAGUAGGACACGGAG
rnacentral:lncRNA from 1 species